UACGGGGGGGGGCAAGCGUUGUUCGGAAUUACUGGGCGUAAAGCGCACGUAGGCGGCUUUCUAAGUCAGAGGUGAAAUCCUGGAGCUCAACUCCAGAACUGCCUUUGAUACUGGAGAGCUUGAGUUCGGGAGAGGUGAGUGGAACUGCGAGUGUAGAGGUGAAAUUCGUAGAUAUUCGCAAGAACACCAGUGGCGAAGGCGGCUCACUGGCCCGAUACUGACGCUGAGGUGCGAAAGCGUGGGGAGCAAACAGG
rnacentral:rRNA from 1 species